CCCUUAGAUGUUCUGGGCCGCACACGCGCUACACUGAAGGAGGCAGCGUGUACUCCUGGAUCGAAAGAUUUGGGUAACCCGCGAAUCUCCUUCGUGCUAGGGAUUGAGGUUUGCAAUUAUCCUUCAUGAACGAGGAAUUCCCAGUAAGUGCAAGUCAUAAGCUUGCGCUGACUACGUCCCUGCCCUUUGUACACACCGCCCGUCGCUACUACCGAUUGAGCAUUAGGGUGAAAUCUUCGGACCGUGGCAUACUUCUGGCCUAGCCAGUCUUUGUCCGUGGGAGGUCGCUUAAAUCCUGAUGCUUAGAGGAAGUAAAAGUCGUAACA
rnacentral:rRNA from 1 species